GUGGAUACCUUUCCAUGACAUGCACCAGGCAGAGAUUGGGUAGACUGCUUCGAGAUCUCUCUUUUUGAUGCAUUGGUCAGAACGGAAUCAGAAACCAGACUGAGACUCCAAGUUGGAAGGCUCCUAGACUGUAGGAAGAAAAUUUACAAGAGAGAAAAAUCUGACAUUUCUUUAAGUAUUGACUGGUGACAUUCCAGAUGAUCGAGCCCCCUCACAUAGGUUCCUGCAUGAGAAGCACACGGAGUGAAGCCCCAGCUAUGCAUGAUGAAUAGUAGCAUGAAUAAGAAAUAAAUCUUGAUUGCUCUAA